AAUGACAGCCCGCCACCACCGCGUUCCGUUGCCAGCGCUCCUCCUCCGCCGCGGCCUCUGUCGCUGAGCAAGGCUGCCCCGGUGCAGUAUGGAGCCGAAAGUAGGGUCCACGCAGACUAUGGGCGGCGCGUGCUCUGUGUUGGCGGAGGAGACCGAAAAGUGGAUGGAACAGGCGAUGCAAAUGGCCAAAGAAGCCCUAGAAAAUAUUGAGGUUCCUGUUGGCUGCCUUUUGGUCUACAACAAUGAAGUUGUAGGGAAGGGAAGAAAUGAAGUUAAUCAAACCAAAAAUGCUACUCGACAUGCAGAAAUGGUGGCCAUCGACCAGGCCCUAGAUUGGUGUCGUCGACAUGGCAAGAGUCCUUCUGAGGUGUUUGAACAGACAGUGCUGUACGUCACCGUGGAGCCGUGUAUCAUGUGCGCAGCCGCUCUCCGCCUGAUGAAAAUCCCGCUGGUUGUCUAUGGCUGUCAGAAUGAACGAUUUGGUGGUUGUGGCUCUGUUCUAGAUAUUGCCUCUGCUGAUCUACCGAAUACUGGGAGACCAUUUCAGUGCAUCCCCGGAUAUCGGGCUGAGGAAGCAGUGGAGAUGUUAAAGACCUUCUACAAACAAGAAAAUCCAAAUGCACCAAAAUCAAAGGUUCGGAAAAAGGAAUGUCAGAAAUCCUGAACUUGUUCUAAUGAAAGACUCGUGCUCCUGGACGACAUUCUUGGACAGAAAGCUGUUGACAUUGUUGAAUCAUGUAUCUUCAGGAUAGAUUCCUAGAAGUGGGAUCUCUCAGUUGAGAGGUAAGUGAAUGAAUUGUUUUGUUAGUCAUUGCCAAGUUCCCCUCCCAAAGGGCUGUGCCAAUUUGUAUUCCCAUCAGCAAUGCGUGAGAGUGCCUGUUUUCCCCUAACCCUGCCAAGAGGAUGUGUUGUCAUGCUUUUUGAAUUUUUGUUUAUCUGAUACGUGAGAAA